rnacentral:lncRNA from 1 species
GAACCUGCGAAUGCUGAAGCUAAGGGUGAUGAAGGGGCCGAACGGUUUAAAAAAUAUUGGCGAGAGAGAUUUGAAAAGCUGAAUAAGAUAUCAGACAGGGAUGCCAUGAAAAAGCUUAUAAAAAUGCUGAAAGUAAAACAAAAGUUUUUUCUCACCCAAGGACAGAACGGAACAGAUGCCGUAAAACAACAAAGGCAAGUUCACAUAUUUCAUUUUGAAAGAACUAAAUAUUACUGCAGAAUCACACAUGAGGUGAUAAUUAUUUUUUUACUAACAUAUGCAAAUAAUCUUUUUAGGGACUUCAAUCAAUCGCUCAUUCCAUGGGAAACGGAGAUCCGAGAGGCAGUCAAAAUCUUAAGUUCCUUGGGUUAUGAAAUAAUAAUAGAAACGAAAACCGGAGAGAAAAACAAAGAUAUGCUAAAAAGGAAGGAGAAAGAGAAAGAAAAGCUGAAAGUGGAAGGGAAAACAGAGGAAGAGCUGAUAGAGGAUCUCCCCGAAAAGAUUAAGUUUAUAAAAUUACUUGAAAAAGCAAUUCCCCAGGAAGAUAAAUCUUCUGGAG